GGACUACUGGGGUAUCUAAUCCUGUUCGCUCCCCACGCUUUCGCUCCUCAGCGUCAGUACAGGCCCAGAGAACCGCCUUCGCCACCGGUGUUCCUCCCGAUAUCUGCGCAUUUCACCGCUACACCGGGAAUUCCAUUCUCCCCUGCCUGCCUCCAGCCGGCCCGUAUCCACUGCACGCCCGGGGUUAAGCCCCGGGAUUUCACAGCAGACGCAACCGGCCGCCUACGAGCUCUUUACGCCCAAUAAUUCCGGACAACGCUCGCGCCCUACGUAUUACCGCGGCUGCUGGCAC
rnacentral:rRNA from 1 species